rnacentral:rRNA from 1 species
UACGAAGGGGGCUAGCGUUGUUCGGAAUCACUGGGCGUAAAGCGCACGCAGGCGGAUCGUUAAGUCAGGGGUGAAAUCCCGAGGCUCAACCUCGGAACUGCCUUUGAUACUGGCGAUCUUUGAGUCCGGGAGAGGUGAGUGGAACUCCGAGUGUAGAGGUGAAAUGCGCAGAUAUCAGGAAGAACACCCGUGGCGAAGGCGGCUCUCUGGGACGGUACUGACGCUGAGACGCGAAAGCGUGGGGAGCGAACAGG